rnacentral:rRNA from 1 species
GAUGAACGCUGGCGGCGUGCCUAAUACAUGCAAGUCGAGCGAAGCGGGGACGGGUGAGUAACACGUGGAUAACCUCCUAUAAGACUGGGAUAACUUCGGGAAAACGGAGCUAAACCGGAUACUGAUUGAUGGAUCCUCGCUGUAUUAGGUAGUUGGUAAGGUAACGGCUUAAAAAGGCAACGAUGCAUAGCUGAUAUGAGAGGAUGAUCAGCCACACUGGAACUGAGACCCGGCCCCGACUCCUACGGGAGGCAGCAGGGGGGAAUCUGCCGCAAUGGGUGAAACCCUGACGGAGCAACGCCGCGUGAGUGAUGAAGGUCUUCGGAUCGUAAAGCUCUGUUAGUAGGGAAGCGGUACCUAAUCAGAAAGCACCGGCUAACUACGUGCCAGCAGCCGCGGUAAUUC